CGGAGGGAGCUCACCGCCUGGCAUUUCCAGCGCCUGUGAACUGCGGCCUGAGAGGGGCCGCCUCCUGGGGAGGGUCCAGACCGCUGGCCUAGCACCUGUCAAGGCACCAUAGAGGCCCUGUGGCAGCCCUGAGAGGAGGACAGUUGUGAGCCCAUUUCACGGACGGGGAAAUAGAGGCCAAGUGCGAGGAGGUGCCCUCCCUCCAGAGGCUCCCAGCUGGGGCGCGGCGGGCGGAGGCGUGAGGUAAACAAACGCCGGGACCGCCGGCCUCUGUGCUGGAGAGAGGCGUGAACCUGGAGGUCUGAGCAGGGGCACCCGCAGGCUUGCACCCCGGUGACGCCCACUGUGGGCCUCGGAUGGCCUACACAGCAGGCCCUGUCCGGGUGGGCACCUCCGUGCCUCGCCCGCCAGUCUGGCGUUCACGAGCUCCCCUACCAUGACCCAGGGCGACCCUCGAUGGACCGCGUCACAGGUCACUGCAUCUGGAGCACCGGUGACCCUCAUGGGGCUUCCUGUCUGCCCCCUGCCCCGGCUCAGGCCUGCUGGGGGACGUGCAGGGGUGAGGCUGGGAGCUCAGGGCUCAUUUCACAGUCCAGCCUUUGGGCCACCAGUGGCAGGCCCCCUGCACAGCGACCAGGGCCUGCACUGUGAGACCCGCGGGGCACUCAGUGGGGACGGGGGUGGGGGCAGUGCAUGACUCAGGGUCUCCACAGACAUGACCCAGUGGCAUCUCACGCUCAGGCUGAGUCAGUCCGCUCUUGAGGGUUGGGGGUUCACCACAGCCCUAAACACAGGCGCAUGUCUCACCAGAAGCUGGGACCAGCUGGUGUGCAUGGGCAGGCCACACGUGGGGGUCGGUCCGUGUGCACCGUGAUGUGUCUCUGCCGCCGCCAUCUCUACCUGAGGCCUGACGGGCACCCAUUCCUGCCUCCGCGGUGCCUCUGGGACGCCCACCCAGCCUCCACGAUGAGAAAGGCCAGUGGCCGAGCCGUGCCCCAAGCCCUUUCCUGGUCCCUUGGGCGGCCUCCUCGAAGAGCCGUGUCCCAGGACACAACCAUGUUGCAGCGGCCGACGGCCUCGGUGCUUUCCAGGCUGACCCGCUUCCCCCGGCGCACUGGCCUCACCGCAUCCCCUGCUCGCCCACGCACGGACCCACGGCACUGCUGGACAUGUGCCUCCGCCUCUCCCGCUGACGUCUCCACAGCCGAAGGACUGGGUCCCCUGGUGACGCGGGGCUUCGUCUGCAAGGAGGCCACCCCAGGCCACGAGGGGCUGUGGCCGCAGAGCAAGGACACCGCCGUGGACCUCGGGCCGCUCUGGCAGGGCCGGGACCCCAUCGGCCUGCCUACCAUGUGGCCACCAGGCCAGGGGAAGGCAGCAGCCCGGGGUCUGCCUCCUGCUCCACAUGGGGCCCCGGACACAAGAUAAAUCACCAGAUAAUGAAAUGAGGUCAUGAAUUGAA